rnacentral:misc_RNA from 1 species
GAUGAAGAACGUAGCGAAAUGCGAUAAGUAAUGUGAAUUGCAGAAUUCAGUGAAUCAUCGAAUCUUUGAACGCACAUUGCGCCCGCCAGUAUUCUGGCGGGCAUGCCUGUUCGAGCGUCAUUUCAACCAUCAGGCCCCCGGGCUUGUGUUGGGGACCUGCGGCUGCCGCAGGCCCUGAAAACCAGUGGCGGGCUCGCUAGUCACUCCGAGCGUAGUAGUUACAUCUCGCUCAGGGCGUGCUGCGGGUUCCGGCCGUUAAAAGCCUUUUACCCCAAGGUUGACCUCGGAUCAGGUAGGAAGACCCGCUGAACUUAAGCAUAUCAAUAAGCGGAGGA